AACAAAUAUUAACUGAAGAUUGAAACCAGAACGGCGCGAAACUGUCUCGUUUUGGACACUGUCUGUGGCAGCACGGACCAGAGACCUGCUUCUUUGGAUGAAGCUUAGUGGUGGCGUUGGAAGACAGGAGAUAUAUGCUUUGGGUUUGCGUCAUCCACUACGUCGGCAAAGAACAGGAUCGGGGAAUGAAUACAUGGCCAACUGCAUCUCGUGGAAGUUGUUCUGAAGAUGCGAUGCGUGAAGGAAGGAAGUCCACAAGCAUGUGUGCUUCAGGUGUGUAAAUGUGUUGACAUAUCUUGUGUGUUAUAUAAUGUGUUCAGUCAUCAUCAUUAUCAUUAAUCACAGGAACAACCACACCACAAUUUUAUAUGGAAUUAUAGAUCCCUUAAUUAAUAGAAACCUGAUCUUGUUUGGCCAAAAUAGCUGCCAGGAGUGUUACCAAGAUGGCUGCAGAGUGGCUAGACUGUAUAAGGAUGUGUCAGACAAUAAAUUAAUUUAGUUUUCUUUUGAAAUUUCAUGCAUUUCAGCUGGCUGAAUGGGAAGAACUCUUUGACCAACCCCCAACUGAGAGAGCUGAGGGAAGUGGCUAUCAGUAAGUCUAUUUGUGGGGAGACUUACUCUGACAGAUGACAUCUUAUAAAUGAUGCUGUAGAUCUCAUAAUGAUCUUGCAAUAUGUAUUCCUUAUAACUAAAUGCAGUUUGGAGAUACUCCCCAGCUGCUAGUGAUGAUGCAACAUGUGGAGGCAAUAACUAAGCAGCAACAGAAAGAUAAGGUGCUGUGUCUGUGUGUGUGUGUGUGUGUGUGUGUGUGUGUGUGUGUGUGUGUGUGUGUGUGUGUGUGUGUGUGUGUGUGUGUGUGUG